rnacentral:rRNA from 1 species
GGGUUAGUAGGUUGGUCAUGCCUCUGGUAUGUACUGGUCUCACUGAUUCCUCCUUCCUGAUGAGCCGCCAUGCCAUUUAUUUGGUGUUUUGGGGAAUUUGGACUGUUACUUUGAAAAAAUUAGAGUGUUUAAAGCAAGCUAACGCUUGAAUACAUUAGCAUGGAAUAAUGAAAUAGGACGUUCGAUCCUAUUUUGUUGGUUUCUAGGCUUGGCGUA